CCAGACUCCUACGGGAGGCAGCAGUGAGGAAUAUUGGUCAAUGGCCGGAAGGCUGAACCAGCCAAGUCGCGUGAGGGAUGACGGCCCUACGGGUUGUAAACCUCUUUUGCCGGGGAGCAACGGGCGCCACGUGUGGCGCCACUGAGAGUACCCGGAGAAAAAGCAUCGGCUAACUCCGUGCCAGCAGCCGCGGUAAUACGGAGGAUGCGAGCGUUAUCCGGAUUUAUUGGGUUUAAAGGGUGCGUAGGCGGGAUCGUAAGGACGUGGGGAAAUUGAGGGGCCCAACCCCCUGCCCGCCAUUGAAACUGGCGCUCUUGAGUGGAAGAGAAGUAUGCGGAAUGCGUGGUGUAGCGGUGAAAUGCAUAGAUAUCACGCAGAACCCCGAUUGCGAAGGCAGCAUGCCGGCUUCCGACUGACGCUGAAGCACGAAAGCGUGGGGAUCGAACAGGAUUAGAUACCCGAGUAC
rnacentral:rRNA from 1 species